GACGAACGCUGGCGGCGUGCCUAACACAUGCAAGUCGAACGGAGGAUUUUAUGAAGUUUACUUGAUAAAAUCUUUAGUGGCGGACGGGUGAGUAACGCGUGGGUAACCUGCCCAUAAAACGGGGACAACUCUUGGAAACGAGAGCUAAUACCGGAUAAUCUUCCUUGGUGGCAUCACGAAGGAAGGAAAGAGGGCCUCUGAAGAUGCUCUUGAUUAUGGAGGGACCCGCGUCUGAUUAGCUAGUUGGGAGGGUAAAGGCCUACCAAGGCGAUGAUCAGUAGCCGGCCUGAGAGGGUGAACGGCCACACUGGGACUGAGACACGGCCCAGACUCCUACGGGAGGCAGCAGUGGGGAAUCUUCCGCAAUGGACGAAAGUCUGACGGAGCAACGCCGCGUGUAUGAAGAAGGUUUUCGGAUUGUAAAAUACUGUUCUUAGGGACGAAUGGUGAGGUCAGUAAGAAGGAGUUCACAUGACGGUACCUAAGGAGGAAGCCCCGGCUAACUACGUG
rnacentral:rRNA from 1 species